rnacentral:rRNA from 1 species
AUGCACUUGCUGGACAAUUCCAUCUCCUCUUGGGCAGAUUUAUGCCAUCAGUUUGUCGGUGCCUUUACAGGCGGCCACAAGCCACAUGGCCAAGAGAGCGAUCUUCACCUGCUCGCCCAGAAGGAAGGAGAGCCACUGCGCAAGUACAUUCAGAGAUUCAGCCGUGUACAGCACAACAUCCCAGAUGUCCACCCCGCCGCGAUCAUCAGCGCGUUCCAUCAGAACGUGCGAAACCGAAGGAUGAGGGAGGAGAUGGCGAUGUGUAAGAUCAAAGACGUUAGUGAGCUUUACGCCCUGGCCGACAAGUGUGCACGCGCUGAAGAGGGGAGGAGGCUCCCCAGAGAGAGUACAGGAGCAGGAGGAUCUGACAGUGAGGAUGCCGCCCCGACAAGGAAAGGCCGGCGGCGGAACAACAGAAGGAAAAAGGGCAAGGAAGUGCUAGCUGUCGAGCAGACCGGCAACGGAGGUGGCACCAAGGAAGCUAAAGCUGGUGGCUCCGACAAGGAGGCCCAGCCUGUGGCGGCCGCUGACAAGCAGGACAGCUCCGGCAAGCAGUAUUGUAAGAUUCACCGCACCAAGGGUCACGAUCUCCAGAACCGCAAGAAAGUCAAACAGCUUGUUGAGCAACAGAAAGCUGAGUACGAGCGGCGCGACAAGGAGAAGGCCCAGGAAGGUGCUGGUGGAUCCGGCAAGAAACGUCCCGGCCGAGGAGGACGCUGCGGCAAGGCCAAGCAGUGGCAAGGAGACAGACCUCACCGCGGCCGCGACAAGGAUGAAGACGACGACGAUGACGAAGACGUGGAUGAUGACGAGGCCGACGAGCAGGAAUUUCAGAAAGCUACAGAGGUCCUGUGCGUUGACAGUGGUGCUUCUCUGCAUACUUCGCACCGCCAACUCAAGCAGUGGAUGUGGGAGGUUAAUGCAGCGGAACCAUCCGUAGAGUCACGCAAGCCUCUGAAAUGGUCCAGCACGCCUAUCAUCUUCGACAUUGAGGAUCACCCUGAUCGCAUAACCGUGGUCUGGUGCUUGCCGAUGUUGUUUUCACCAACUAUCCGCAACCUCAAGGUCACGUAG